AUUGAACGCUGGCGGCAGGCCUAACACAUGCAAGUCGAACGGUAACAGGAAACAGCUUGCUGUUUCGCUGACGAGUGGCGGACGGGUGAGUAAUGUCUGGGAAACUGCCUGAUGGAGGGGGAUAACUACUGGAAACGGUAGCUAAUACCGCAUAACGUCGCAAGACCAAAGAGGGGGACCUUCGGGCCUCUUGCCAUCGGAUGUGCCCAGAUGGGAUUAGCUAGUAGGUGGGGUAACGGCUCACCUAGGCGACGAUCCCUAGCUGGUCUGAGAGGAUGACCAGCCACACUGGAACUGAGACACGGUCCAGACUCCUACGGGAGGCAGCAGUGGGGAAUAUUGCACAAUGGGCGCAAGCCUGAUGCAGCCAUGCCGCGUGUAUGAAGAAGGCCUUCGGGUUGUAAAGUACUUUCAGCGGGGAGGAAGGGAGUAAAGUUAAUACCUUUGCUCAUUGACGUUACCCGCAGAAGAAGCACCGGCUAACUCCGUGCCAGCAGCCGCGGUAAUACGGAGGGUGCAAGCGUUAAUCGGAAUUACUGGGCGUAAAGCGCACGCAGGCGGUUUGUUAAGUCAGAUGUGAAAUCCCCGGGCUCAACCUGGGAACUGCAUCUGAUACUGGCAAGCUUGAGUCUCGUAGAGGGGGGUAGAAUUCCAGGU
rnacentral:rRNA from 1 species